AGCGAACGCUGGCGGCAGGCCUAAAACAUGCAAGUCGAACGCCCGUAGCAAUACGGGAGUGGCAGACGGGUGAGUAACACGUGGGAACGUGCCCUUUGGUUCGGAACAACACAGGGAAAUUUGUGCUAAUACCGGAUAAGCCCUUACGGGGAAAGAUUUAUCGCCAGAGGAUCGGCCCGCGUCUGAUUAGCUAGUUGGUGAGGUAACGGCUCACCAAGGCUACGAUCAGUAGCUGGUCUGAGAGGAUGAUCAGCCACACUGGGACUGAGACACGGCCCAGACUCCUACGGGAGGCAGCAGUUAGGAAUCUUGGACAAUGGGCGCAAGCCUGAUCCAGCCAUGCCGCGUGAGUGAUGAAGGCCUUAGGGUUGUAAAGCUCUUUCAGCGGGGAAGAUAAUGACGGUACCCGCAGAAGAAGCCCCGGCUAACUUCGUGCCAGCAGCCGC
rnacentral:rRNA from 1 species